GUCUCUCUCCGAAUUCUUUCUGUAGUAAGAGAGAAGAACCUAUACUUUACUAAGUCCUGAGACGCGUUCUGCAGGUUUUGGGGUUUCAGCUAUGAUCUUCCUUCCACAUUCUCCUCUUUCUCUUUCACUGUCUCCACCUUUUCCUUCUCUCAGAUGUCACAGCCUCUGACUUCUCCCUGAUCCUCUGAAGCCACACACAACCAAGACUUUAUGCUUACAGCCAUUCCGACUGUUUCCUCCAUUCUGACAGUUCCAGCUCCGUGCCUGGAACACUGCUGACUGGAUAAGUAAAUCAACCCAUCCAUUCGUCCAUCCUCAUAUCUCUAUAUUUAGUUUUCACCUGUCUCCCAAACUCCAGGCUCUGCUGAUCUGUCCAAAUUUAUUCCCUACAAAAGUCCAACAAAAACCACUUUCUCCUUUCAGAUGGCCUCUCCACCCUCAAACAAGCCUUACCCAAUGUCACCUCCACACCACUGUUCACACAGUCCCUUCUCUGGUUCUCUCCUCUGGCUCCUCUGCUGUAGCCUGUACAGUCGACCCUAAGUACCUGAGAGGGGAUUAGUUCCAGGCAGGCCACCCCAUCCCGCCCUUGGACACCACAAUCUGUGUACGCUCAAAUUCCUUAUAUAAAAUGGCAUAGCAUUUACAUAUAAAUUACCUAUAAUCCUCAAGAAUACUUUAACUCACCUCUAGGUUAAUUAUAAUAUCGAAUACAAUGGAUAGGUAAAGUCAUUAUUCCCAUUUUUACAGAUAAGAAAACUGAGUCACGGAGAAAUUAAGUAUAUCGUACACAGAAUUCAAAUCCAUGCAGAAUGACCUUCGAGUUCACUAAAGUCACCCACUGGGAAGCUGCACCCAGGCUGGCAAUUUCCACCUUGAUUUUUGGCAAAUCCCAGGAUUGGUUCAUCACCUCUUUUGAGAAUGUAUGAACAGCAAUCCAACUAUAAUAACAGAUCUAUGAUACCUGAACAUUAGUCUCAUAGAUCUGGGACAUUAGUCCACUUUCAGUCUGCAUUAUAUGUCCUGAUAGCUCAAAAGAAAACACACAAAGCUUAUAACAUAUAAAAAUUUUAGACUGCACCUUCAUAAUGUCUUCAAAAUGUAGAACUGCAAGAGAGGAUGGCCUCCUUAAGACUGG
rnacentral:lncRNA from 1 species